rnacentral:misc_RNA from 1 species
AACGCACAUUGCGCCCCCUGGCAUUCCGGGGGGCAUGCCUGUCCGAGCGUCAUUUCUGCCCUCAAGCACGGCUUGUGUGUUGGGUGUGGUCCCCCCGGGGGCCUGCCCGAAAGGCAGCGGCGACGUCCGUCUGGUCCUCGAGCGUAUGGGGCUUUGUCACUCGCUCGGGAAGGACCUGCGGGGGUUGGUCACCACCAUAUUUUUUUUACCACGGUUGACCUCGGAUCAGGUAGGAGUUACCCGCUGAACUUAA